GACGAACGCUGGCGGCGCGCCUAACACAUGCAAGUCGAACGAGCGAGAGAGAGCUUGCUUUCUCGAGCGAGUGGCGAACGGGUGAGUAACGCGUGAGGAACCUGCCCCUAAGAGGGGGACAACAGUUGGAAACGACGGCUAAUACCGCAUAAGCCCUCGUGUCGCCCUCGGCGAGAGGGAAAAGGAGGGAUCUGCUCUGAGAUGGCGGCGCGUCCGAUCUGCUUGUUGGGGAGGUAACGGCCCACCACGGCAACGUACGGUAGCCGGACUGAGAGGUUGGCCGGCCACAUUGGGACUGAGACACAGCCCCGACUCCUACGGGAGGGAGGAGUGGGGAAUAUAGCAAAAUGGGGGAAAAGAUGAUGAAGCGACGCCGGGAAGAGGAAGAAGGUCGUCGGAAAGUAAACUCCUGUUGUUGGGGAAGAUAAUGACGGUACCCAACAAGGAAGUGACGGCUAACUACGUG
rnacentral:rRNA from 1 species